GCCUCCGUAGUUUAAUGGAUAGAAUGAUGGUUUCCGGUACCAUUGGUAGGGGUUCGAAUCCCUUCGGAGGCG
rfam:Pedobacter glucosidilyticus strain DD6b PBAC_contig000014, whole genome shotgun sequence.